rnacentral:lncRNA from 1 species
GAGUAGCAAAGGGUGUAAUUUGUCCUCAAGCAAAACAAAACAAAACAAUCACACAAAACAAAACUUGGCUUUAUACUGUUUCAUCCAAUGCCUCAACAAUCCUAAGGUACAUGACAAAACCACCCAAUUCAAUAUCCUCAGUGAAAUCCAAGAUAAGAUGCAUGCAUGCUUUCAACCCAGAGAUUGCACAAUAGAUGUUAUAUACUAUGAAUGAUCAAUCCACUAAGCAAAAAUGUACUUAUGAAAAUUAACAAAACAUACCAAGCAAGUGUUUCACUCAAUCACUCAAGUGUUUAAGGUGACACUCCAACUCUCAAUUAUUCACAAGUCUCAUAAAACAAAAUUGCCAUUCAUCUUAAACAAUCAACAUUUUUACAUGCAAAUGCCAUCAAAAGGACUUUUCCAAGGCUUGUAAUGAGGUUGGGCUAACAAGAAAGAAUUGGUUUUUCCAGAAUGCAAAAUCCUUGAGUCAAGAGAGCUAACAAAGUAUUCAACAUUUAAGCAUUACUCUCUCACCAAUAUCUCUCAUUCCCAACUUCUUCCUUUUUCUCUUCUUUUUCAUUGAGCUCAUCUUCAUNCUUUUCUUCUUUUCUUUUCUUUUUCUCAUGAAUUUUUCUCUUUUCACAACAACUGAGCUCAAUGCCUUUUACUUGCUUUUUUCAACUUUCCCCCGUACAACCCCAAACUUGAACCUUUUCAUCGCAUACAAUUAAGCUCAUCCCAACUCAAGGUAAAGAUUUACAAGACAAGGGUUCACAAAACUGUUUAAGGCUAAGGUUCAAAAAGGGUAAAAUAUUUUCAAGCACUUUGGGUGAAAAUUUGGCUAGAGAAGGGUUUUCAAAAAUGGCCUUGAUCAUAUGACAAUUACAUGCAAUUCAAUCGAUCAUCAAGAUUAAGGCAAUAUCAUCCAUGUUUUCCUGUGAACAAUACAUGCAACAAUAAAAACUCUGGAGCUCAAAAUCUCACACACAUGCUUCCUCACACAAAAUUCAUUCAUACACCCUGCUUAGCAUCAUGACCACAAUCAUAAAUUCAUCACAUCUAU